CCUGGAUUUAUUGGGUUUAAAGGGUGGGUAGGCGGAACUGUAAGUCAGCGAUGAAACGCAGGGGCUCAACCCCUGACCUGCCGUUGAAACUGUAGAUCUGGAAUACGGAUGCUGUGGGAGGAAUGUGUAGUGUAGCGGUGAAAUGCAUAGAUAUUACACAGAACACCGAUUGCGAAGGCAUCUCACAAAUCCGUCAUUGACGCUGAGGCACGAAAGUGUGGGGAUCAAACAGGAUUAGAUACUCUGGUAGUCCACACUGUAAACGAUGAUAACUCGCUGUUGGCGAUAUAGUGUCAGUAGCUAAGCGAAAGCGAUAAGUUAUCCACCUGGGGAGUACGACCGCAAGGUUGAAACUCAAAGGAAUUGACGGGGGCCCGCACAAACGGAGGAACAUGUGGUUUAAUUCGAUGGUACGCGAGGAACCUUACCCGGGCUCGAACGGUGCAUGAAUAUGCAAGAGAUUGCAUAGUCCUUCGGGACAUGUAUCGAGGUGCUGCAUGGUUGUCGUCAGCUCGUGCCGUGAGGUGUCGGCUUAAGUGCCAUAACGAGCGCAACCCUUGUCGUCAGUUACCAUCGGGUAAAGCCGGGGACUCUGACGAGACUGCCACCGUAAGGUGAGAGGAAGGGGGGGAUGACGUCAAAUCAGCACGGCCCUUACGUCCGGGGCGACACACGUGUUACAAUGGUGGGUACAGAGGGGAGCUACUUAGAGAUAAGAUGCAAAUCUCAAAAACCCAUCUCAGUUCGGAUCGGAGUCUGCAACUCGACUCCGUGAAGUUGGAUUCGCUAGUAAUCGCGCAUCAGC
rnacentral:rRNA from 1 species